UUUUUAUUUUAAUUCUAAAGAGAAAAACAUGUACUUCGAGGGGAUAAACGUAUUUAAUUGGUCAACUGCAGCAAUUUUUCUUUGAGGAAUAUUGUCUGAUUGCAUACAAUUAAUGCUGUUAAGAUUAGACUCGAAAUAAAAGGAAAUCACAAUCCCAUCAGCGUCUAUCCGGCAGCAGAAAAUGAUCUCGGUAAAUAGGUACGUCUAAUCAACGAAGGAGUGUGCUUAAAACCCUCGUAAUUAGCAGACGUUAUCAGAAACGGUGAAAGCAUUCAGAAGAAAUGAAGAAAGAAAUGUUUUAAGGUCUUUAUAGCCGACACAGAUCAGAUAAAAAAAUUCUGAUAUCAUAUUUAUUUUAUUUUUUAUCUGCUUAAUCUGUUCAUUUGUGGAGGCAUGCUUUCUAGAUGAUAUAAUAAGGAAUUUAUGUGGCAAUAAUAGGAACAGAAAUAUGUGAGAUAUUAUAAAUAUAUACAACACCUGAAGCUUUCAAACUGUCAUUAAACCUAUCAGAUAUAUCAUUACCUUAUCAAAUGUUACAGUUAGAUAGAUAAAAGUUGCAUAUGUUAUCAUGUGCGGUUGUAGCC
rnacentral:sRNA from 1 species